GACGAACGCUGGCGGCGUGCUUAACACAUGCAAGUCGAACGGAAAGGCCCUGCUUUUGUGGGGUGCUCGAGUGGCGAACGGGUGAGUAACACGUGAGUAACCUGCCCUUGACUUUGGGAUAACUUCAGGAAACUGGGGCUAAUACCGGAUAGGAGCUCCUGCUGCAUGGUGGGGGUUGGAAAGUUUCGGCGGUUGGGGAUGGACUCGCGGCUUAUCCGCUUGUUGGUGGGGUAGUGGCUUACCAAGGCUUUGACGGGUAGCCGGCCUGAGAGGGUGACCGGCCACAUUGGGACUGAGAUACGGACCAGACUCCUACGGGAGGCAGCAGUGGGGAAUAUUGCACAAUAGGCGGAAGCCUGAUGCAGCAACGCCGCGUGCGGGAUGACGGCCUUCGGGUUGUAAACCGCUUUCGCCUGUGACGAAGCGUGAGUGACGGUAAUGGGUAAAGAAGCACCGGCUAACUACGUG
rnacentral:rRNA from 1 species